AUUGAACGCUGGCGGAAUGCUUUACACAUGCAAGUCGAACGGCAGCACGGACUUCGGGUCUGGUGGCGAGUGGCGAACGGGUGAGUAACAUAUCGGAACGUAUCCAAUAAUGGGGGAUAACUAAUCGAAAGGUUGGCUAAUACCGCAUACGCCCUACGGGGGAAAGCUAGGGACCUUCGGGCCUGGCGUUAAUGGAGCGGCCGAUAUCUGAUUAGCUAGUUGGUGAGGUAAAGGCUCACCAAGGCGACGAUCAGUAGCUGGUCUGAGAGGACGACCAGCCACACUGGAACUGAGACACGGUCCAGACUCCUACGGGAGGCAGCAGUGGGGAAUUUUGGACAAUGGGCGCAAGCCUGAUCCAGCCAUUCCGCGUGAGUGAAGAAGGCCUUCGGGUUGUAAAGCUCUUUCGCAAGGGAAGAAAACUUAUCCUCUAACAUAGGAUGAGGUUGACGGUACCUUGAUAAGAAGCACCGGCUAACUACGUG
rnacentral:rRNA from 1 species